rnacentral:rRNA from 1 species
AUGUUGGGUUAAGUCCCGCAACGAGCGCAACCCUUAUCCUUUGUUGCCAGCGGUCCGGCCGGGAACUCAAAGGAGACUGCCAGUGAUAAACUGGAGGAAGGUGGGGAUGACGUCAAGUCAUCAUGGCCCUUACGACCAGGGCUACACACGUGCUACAAUGGCAUAUACAAAGAGAAGCGACCUCGCGAGAGCAAGCGGACCUCAUAAAGUAUGUCGUAGUCCGGAUUGGAGUCUGCAACUCGACUCCAUGAAGUCGGAAUCGCUAGUAAUCGUAGAUCAGAAUGCUACGGUGAAUACGUUCCCGGGCCUUGUACACACCGCCCGUCACACCAUGGGAGUGGGUUGCAAAAGAAGUAGGUAGCUUAACCUUCGGGAGGGCGCUUACCACUUUGUGAUUCAUGACUGGGGUGAAGUCGUAACAAGGUAACCGUAGGGGAACCUGCGGUUGGAUCACCUCCUUACCUUAAAGAA